AUGUCAAUCAAAAACCUGUCAAAAAACGUCAAUCAGUCCGUGGGUCUGUCCUGGUGUGUCCGUCUGGGGCUGUCUGUGUGUCCAUCCAGGUGUGUCCAGGUGUGUCCAGGUCUGUCCGUGUGUCCGUCCGGGGCUGUCGCUGUCCUGGGGGGGUCUGUCCAUGGGUCUGGCCCUGCUGGACAUCUGUCCGUGUGUCCCGUGUCUGUGUGUCCAUCUGUCCGUGUGUCCAUCUGUCCGUGUGUCCAUGUGUCCAUCCCAUCUGUCCGUGUGUCUGUUCCGACCGUCUGUCUGUCCAUCCCGUGUGUCCGUGUGUCCGCCCUGUGUCCAUCUGUCCACGUGUCUGUGCCCAUGUGUCCGUGUGUCCGUCCCGUGUCCGUGUGUCCGUACCGCGUCCAUCUAUCCGUGCGUCUGCGCCGUGUGUCUGUGUGUCCGUGUGUCCAUCUGUCCGUGUGUCCGUCCUGUCUGUCCAUCCCGUGUGUCCGUGUGUCCGCCCUGUGUCCAUCUGUCCACGCGUCUGUGCUGUGUGCCCGUGUGUCCGUGUGUCCGUCACAUGUCCGUGUGUCCGUGCUGUGUGUCCGUGUGUCCGUCACAGGUCUGUGUGUCUGUCACGUGUCCGUGUGUCCGUGUGUCCAUCGGUUCGUGUGUCUGUCUGUCCAUCCCGUGUCCGUCUGUCCAUCCGUCAUUUCCAGAAGAGCACGUUCCAGAGCAGCAGCCAGCAGGGGUGGGCGCCCAGGGUGAGGAGGGGGCUCAGGUGGGUUCAGGUGGGCUCAGGUGGG
rnacentral:lncRNA from 1 species